GCCUAACACAUGCAAGUCGAACGGUAACAGGAAACAGCUUGCUGUUUCGCUGACGAGUGGCGGACGGGUGAGUAAUGUCUGGGAAACUGCCUGAUGGAGGGGGAUAACUACUGGAAACGGUAGCUAAUACCGCAUAACGUCGCAAGACCAAAGAGGGGGACCUUCGGGCCUCUUGCCAUCAGAUGUGCCCAGAUGGGAUUAGCUAGUAGGUGGGGUAACGGCUCACCUAGGCGACGAUCCCUAGCUGGUCUGAGAGGAUGACCAGCCACACUGGAACUGAGACACGGUCCAGACUCCUACGGGAGGCAGCAGUGGGGAAUAUUGCACAAUGGGCGCAAGCCUGAUGCAGCCAUGCCGCGUGUAUGAAGAAGGCCUUCGGGUUGUAAAGUACUUUCAGCGGGGAGGAAGGGAGUAAAGUUAAUACCUUUGCUCAUUGACGUUACCCGCAGAAGAAGCACCGGCUAACUCCGUGCCAGCAGCCGCGGUAAUACGGAGGGUGCAAGCGUUAAUCGGAAUUACUGGGCGUAAAGCGCACGCAGGCGGUUUGUUAAGUCAGAUGUGAAAUCCCCGGGCUCAACCUGGGAACUGCAUUCAAAACUGACGAGCUAGAGUAUGGUAGAGGGUGGUGGAAUUUCCUGUGUAGCGGUGAAAUGCGUAGAUAUAGGAAGGAACACCAGUGGCGAAGGCGACC
rnacentral:rRNA from 1 species